AACACGACCGUACCGCAAACCGACACUGGUGCGCGAGAUGAGUAUUCUAAGGCGCUUGAGAGAACUCAGGAGAAGGAACUCGGCAAAUUGACACCGUAACUUCGGAAGAAGGUGUGCCUUUAGUAGGUGAACCAUUUACUUGGGGAGCCCACUGAGGCUGCAAAAAAUCGGUGGCUGCAACUGUUUAUUAAAACACAGCACUCUGCUAAGACGAAAGUCGACGUAUAGGGUGUGACGCCUGCCCGGUGCUGGAAGAUUAAAUGAUGGGGUGCAAGCUCUUGAUUGAAGUCCCAGUAAACGGCGGCCGUAACAAUAACGGUCCUAAGGUAGCGAAAUUCCUUGUCGGGUAAGUUCCGACCUGCACGAAUGGCGUAAUGAUGGCCACACUGUCUCCUCCUGAGACUCAGCGAAGUUGAAAUGUUUGUGAUGAUGCAAUCUCCCCGCGGAAAGACGGAAAGACCCCAUGAACCUUUACUGUAGCUUUGUAUUGGACUUUGAACAGAUCUGUGUAGGAUAGGUGGGAGGCUUUGAAGUGUGGUCGCUAGAUCGCAUGGAGCCAACGUUGAAAUACCACCCUGGUGUGUUUGAGGUUCUAACCUAGGUCCAUUAUCUGGAUCGGGGACAGUGCAUGGUAGGCAGUUUGACUGGGGCGGUCUCCUCCCAAAGUGUAACGGAGGAGUUCGAAGGUACGCUAGGUACGGUCGGACAUCGUGCUAAUAGUGCAAUGGCAUAAGCGUGCUUAACUGCGAGACUGACAAGUCGAGCAGAUGCGAAAGCAGGACAUAGUGAUCCGGUGGUUCUGUAUGGAAGGGCCAUCGCUCAACGGAUAAAAGGUACUCUGGGGAUAACAGGCUGAUACCGCCCAAGAGUUCAUAUCGACGGCGGUGUUUGGCACCUCGAUGUCGGCUCAUCUCAUCCUGGGGCUGUAGCCGGUCCCAAGGGUAUGGCUGUUCGCCAUUUAAAGAGGUACGUGAGCUGGGUUUAAAACGUCGUGAGACAGUUUGGUCCCUAUCUUCCGUGGGCGCUGCAGAUUUGAGGAAGCCUGCUCCUAGUACGAGAGGACCGGAGUGGACGAACCUCUGGUGUAUCGGUUGUCACGCCAGUGGCAUUGCCGAGUAGCUAAGUUCGGAAGAGAUAACCGCUGAAAGCAUCUAAGCGGGAAACUCGUUUCAAGAUUAGAUCUGCCGGGGCCUUGGGCCCCCUAAAGAGUCGUUCAAGACCAGGACGUUGAUAGGUCAGGUGUGGAAGCCG
rnacentral:rRNA from 1 species